UUUUCUCUAGUCUCUUGGCAAUGAAUUUGAACCAGUUUUAUGUAAUAUGAUUAAAAUCUGGUUCUUCUAUAUGUUUUUUCUUGUGUAUUUCCACGUGGAUGAAGGAUGUUAAUAGACGCAUGAUAGGAAGUGGAAUAGUGUUGCUUGUAACAUCAUUGUCUUUCUCAUUUGGGGCCAAUUUUAUAAUCUUGUGAUGCUAACGUCACAUGCGAGUUUAUGACCACUUGUGAUGUACAUUGUAUUUUUUUUACUUUACUUCAUAUUAGUAAAUGUUGUGAUGCACACGACUUACAAUGUUGAUGAGAUACUUUUUAUGAUAAAAUUUUAAUUUAGAAUUUAAUGAGUAAAUGUUUGCCAUGAAAUGAGCAUUAGUGUCUACAAUAUAUAUUUUUUUGUUUUAAGUUAAUUUGAAUAUGAAAUGCAUUGGGUUUAGUAAAAAAAGCUUUUAGACAUAACUUUUAUUAGGGAAAUAAAAUAUACAUCGAUUGAGUUGAAGCUUUAAAUGUCUGACAUGAAAUUUAGACGUAAUGAAAAAGAAAUAAUAGAAAUGGAUAGAUGAAUAAAAUUCCAAAAUCCUGGUAGCCAAAUGGUUGUGGUGCUUUUAUGCGGUGCUCAAUUCUCUUUGGUGUAGGAUUAUUGUGAGUAAACAUAGACCUCAUCCCUUUGAGUGGUUGGUUAAAAGGGGUUAAAGGCACUUACCUGAAUCCAUGGAAAGAUAUUUUCAAAGAGCCCCCUGACUAUGUUCCUUGGGUUUGUUGUGUGGUGGGGGAUGGAGGAGAGACGUACUUUUGGGAGAAUCAUUGGAUGGGGGUGUCCCCUCUCUAGGGCUUUUUCUCGUUUAUAUAAGUUGUCCUCGCUUAAAAAUCAUUUUGUCUUUGACUUUCUUGUGUGGAUUGGGAGCUCUUAUUCGUUUUCUUUUGGGUUCCAUCUCCCUCUUACUGAUAGGGAUACAAUGGAGGCAAUGCCUCUUCUUUCGGUUCUCGAAAAUCACCAUUUUUGUCUUGGGAGGAGAGAUUUGAUUGUCUGGAAUCCUUGACCUUUGGAUGGGUUCUUGUGUUCUUCAUGGCCGCAUUAGUAUGAAGGAUAGGCUUUUGAGGAAGAUGCCUUUGUUGGUUGGGCAUUUCUGUUGCAUUCUUUGCUGGAAGGCGGAGGAAGACUUGGACCAUAUUUCUUUGGCAUUAUGAGUUGAUGAGCCGUGCUUGGGGAGAAAGGCUGCUUUCUCUGGUGUGUUAGCGUUUAUGCUAUCUUGUGGGUGCUUUGGAAUGAGAGAAAUAGUAAGGUGUUCAAGGGAGUUGAGAGGAUGAGUGGUUGUGUAUGGUCUCUUCUCUCUUGUUUGCGUUCAUGUCUCCCAUAGGGCUUCGAUUUUGAAGAUCUUUUGUAAUUAUUCUAUGAACUCGAUUUUGUAUAGUUCUCCCCCUUCUUACCGUGAGAUUCCAUAACUUUGGGAGCUUGGUUUUUUGUGCCCGUGUAUUCAUUAAUUCUUUCUCAUAAAAAAGGUAAUUGUUUUAAA